rnacentral:rRNA from 1 species
CCGCGGUUAUACGAGAGGCCCAAGUUGAUACUCCACGGCGUAAAGAGUGGUUAGAAAAGACCUACUACUAAAGCCGAACGCCUUCAAAGCUGUUAUACGCAUCCGAAGGUGAGAAGCCCACCCACGAAAGUGGCUUUACAACCUUGACUCCACGAAAGCUAUGA